UCUAACCUUUAAAUCGUUAGUGGUGCUUCUAAUGCAUUUAUAAUUUAAGCUUUAGACCUCAAAUCAGUCAGGACUACCCGCUGAACUUAAGCA
rnacentral:rRNA from 1 species